rnacentral:rRNA from 1 species
UACAGAGGGUGCGAGCGUUGUCCGGAAUUAUUGGGCGUAAAGGGCUCGUAGGCGGUCUGUCGCGUCGGGAGUGAAAACUCAGGGCUUAACCCUGAGCCUGCUUCCGAUACGGGCAGACUAGAGGUAUGCAGGGGAGAACGGAAUUCCUGGUGUAGCGGUGAAAUGCGCAGAUAUCAGGAGGAACACCGGUGGCGAAGGCGGUUCUCUGGGCAUUACCUGACGCUGAGGAGCGAAAGUGUGGGGAGCGAACAGG